rnacentral:rRNA from 1 species
AGAGAUGUGUGAUGACGCAUAUCAAUAAGCGGAGGAAAAGAAACUAACUAGGAUUCCCUCAGUAACGGCGAGUGAAGCGGGAAGAGCUCAAAUUUGAAAUCUUCAAGGUUCUACCUUGACGAAUUGUAGUUUAAAGAAGUGUUUUCUGUUGGAGUUUUGGUAAAAGUUCUUUGGAAUAGGACAUCAUAGAGGGUGAGAAUCCCGUAUUUGACCAUUAUUUCCAACUUUGUGAUACACUUUCAAAGAGUCGGAUUGUUUGGGAGUGCAGUCCAAAAUGGGUGGUAAAUUUCAUCUAAAGCUAAAUACUGGCGAGAGACCGAUAGCGAACAAGUACCGUGAGGGAAAGAUGAAAAGAACUUCGAAAAGAGAGUUAAACAGUACGUGAAAUUGUCAAAAGGGAAGCGUUUGACACCAGUGUUGUUUUUCCGAAAAUCAAUUACGAAUGUUUUGUUUUUAAGAAGUUAUGACUUCAUCGGCUUGCUUCUCUCUUUACGAGACUUUCUUAAUGCACUUUUCGGUUAACAAGUCAACAUCAAUUUCUUUUGUUGUAAAAGGGUAUGAGGAAGGUGGCUUUCUUUUCGGAGAAAGUGUUUAUAGCCUUGUGCCUCUGCAAUCGGAGAGAUUGAGGUCUGCAGCGUAGAUCCUUCGGGGUUAGAUACGUUUGUGCUAAGUUAUAGCUUUUCAUAGACAACUUGUUGACUAUGUUUAGUCUUGUAGCUUACUCGCUUACGCUAUUUUACCUACGCUUAGGAUGUUGACGCAUGAGAUAUACGC